rnacentral:rRNA from 1 species
CGCUGGCGGUGCGCCUUAUGCAUGCAAGUCGAGCGAAGCUUUUCAGUAGUUUACUACAGAAAAUGACUGAGCGGCGAACGGGUGAGUAACGCGUGAGCAACCUACCUUAGUUACUGGGAUAGCCCGAGGAAACUCGGAUUAAUACCGGAUAUUCUUAUUUAAUCACAUGAUUUUUUAAGGAAAGGUCAGCCGAACUAAGAUGGGCUCGCGUUCUAUCAGCUAGUUGGUAGGGUAAUGGCCUACCAAGGCUACGACGGAUAGCUGGUCUGAGAGGACGAUCAGCCACACUGGGACUGAGACACGGCCCAGACUCCUACGGGAGGCUGCAGCAGGGAAUAUUGCGCAAUGAGCGAAAGCUUGACGCAGCGACACCGCGUGUGGGAUGACGGAUCUAGGUUUGUAAACCACUUUCAGGAGGGAAGAAAAUGACGGUACCUCCACAAGAAGCCCCGGCCAACUACGUGCCAGCAGCCGCGGUAAUACGUAGGGGGCGAGCGUUGUCCGGAUUUAUUGGGCGUAAAGAGCUCGUAGGCGGUUCAACAAGUCGGUCGUGAAAGUUCAGGGCUCAACCCUGAAAUGUCGAUCGAUACUGUUGUGACUAGGAUACGGUAGAGGUGAGUGGAAUUCCGAGUGUAGCGGUGAAAUGCGUAGAUAUUCGGAGGAACACCAAUUGCGAAGGCAGCUCACUGGGCCGCUAUCGACGCUGAGGAGCGAAAGCUAGGGGAGCAAACAGGAUUAGAUACCCUGGUAGUCCUAGCUGUAAACGAUGGAUACUAGACGUAGGAAUUGGAUUAACGAUUUCUGUGUCGUAGCUAACGCGUUAAGUAUCCCGCCUGGGGAGUACGGUC